GAUGAACGCUGGCGGCGUGCUUAACACAUGCAAGUCGAACGGAGUUUUAGUAAUUGAUUGAUUUAGCUUGCUAUUGAGAGAUUUUGCUAAAACUUAGUGGCGGACGGGUGAGUAACGCGUGGGUAACCUGCCGUAUACAGGGGGACAACAGUUGGAAACGACUGCUAAUACCGCAUAAGCGCACAGCAUCGCAUGAUGCAGUGUGAAAAACUCCGGUGGUAUACGAUGGACCCGCGUCUGAUUAGCUAGUUGGUGAGGUAACGGCCCACCAAGGCGACGAUCAGUAGCCGGCCUGAGAGGGUGAACGGCCACAUUGGGACUGAGACACGGCCCAAACUCCUACGGGGAGGCAGCAGUGGGGAAUAUUGCACAAUGGGGGAAACCCUGAUGCAGCGACGCCGCGUGAGUGAAGAAGUAUUUCGGUAUGUAAAGCUCUAUCAGCAGGAAGAAAAUGACGGGUACCUGACUAAGAAGCCCCGGCUAACUACGUGCCAG
rnacentral:rRNA from 1 species